rnacentral:rRNA from 1 species
GAUGAACGCUGGCGGCGUGCCUAAUACAUGCAAGUCGAGCGAACAGACGAGGAGCUUGCUCCUCUGACGUUAGCGGCGGACGGGCGAGUAACACGUGGAUAACCUACCUAUAAGACUGGGAUAACUUCGGGAAACCGGAGCUAAUACCGGAUAAUAUAUUGAACCGCAUGGUUCAAUAGUGAAAGACGGUUUUGCUGUCACUUAUAGAUGGAUCCGCGCCGCAUUAGCUAGUUGGUAAGGUAACGGCUUACCAAGGCGACGAUGCGUAGCCGACCUGAGAGGGUGAUCGGCCACACUGGAACUGAGACACGGUCCAGACUCCUACGGGAGGCAGCAGUAGGGAAUCUUCCGCAAUGGGCGAAAGCUUGACGGAGCAACGCCGCGUGAGUGAUGAAGGUCUUCGGAUCGUAAAACUCUGUUAUUAGGGAAGAACAAAUGUGUAAGUAACUAUGCACGUCUUGACGGUACCUAAUCAGAAAGCCACGGCUAACUACGUG